GACGAACGCUGGCGGCGUGCUUAACACAUGCAAGUCGAACGGAAAGGCCCUGCUUGCAGGGUACUCGAGUGGCGAACGGGUGAGUAACACGUGGGUGAUCUGCCCUGCACUUCGGGAUAAGCCUGGGAAACUGGGUCUAAUACCGGACAGGAGCCAUUUUUAGUGUGAUGGUUGGAAAGUUUUUUCGGUGUAGGAUGAGCUCGCGGCCUAUCAGCUUGUUGGUGGGGUAAUGGCCUACCAAGGCGGCGACGGGUAGCCGGCCUGAGAGGGUGGCCGGCCACAUUGGGACUGAGAGACGGCCCAGACUGCUACGGGAGGCAGCAGUGGGGAAUAUUGCACAAUGGGCGCAAGCCUGAUGCAGCGGGGCCGCGUGGGGGAUGACGGCCUUCGGGUGGUAAACUCCUUUCGCUAGGGACGAAGCAUUUUGUGACGGUACCUAGAUAAGAAGCACCGGCUAACUACGUG
rnacentral:rRNA from 1 species